UACGUAGGGUGCAAGCGUUGUCCGGAAUUAUUGGGCGUAAAGAGCUCGUAGGCGGUUUGUCGCGUCUGCUGUGAAAACUCGGGGCUUAACCCCGGGCCUGCAGUGGGUACGGGCAGACUAGAGUGCGGUAGGGGAGACUGGAAUUCCUGGUGUAGCGGUGAAAUGCGCAGAUAUCGGGAGGAACACCAGUGGCGAAGGCGGCACUCUGGGCCAGUAUUGACGCUGAGGAGCGAAAGCGUGGGGAGCGAACAGG
rnacentral:rRNA from 1 species